rnacentral:rRNA from 1 species
AACGAACGCUGGCGGCAGGCCUAACACAUGCCAGUCGAGCGCCCCGCAAGGGGAGCGGCGGACGGGUGAGUACCGCGUGGGAACGUACCCUUUGCUACGGAAUAGCCUCGGGAAACUGGGAGUAAUACCGUAUGUGUCCUUCGGGAGAAAGAUUUAUCGGCAAGGGAUCGGCCCGCGUUGGAUUAGGUAGUUGGUGGGGUAAUGGCCUACCAAGCCGACGAUCCAUAGCUGGUUUGAGAGGAUGAUCAGCCACACUGGGACUGAGACACGGCCCAGACUCCUACGGGAGGCAGCAGUGGGGAAUCUUAGACAAUGGGCGCAAGCCUGAUCUAGCCAUGCCGCGUGAGCGAUGAAGGCCUUAGGGUUGUAAAGCUCUUUCAGGGGGGAAGAUAAUGACUGUACCCCCAGAAGAAGCCCCGGCUAACUCCGUG